CGCGAAGUCCUGGCCAUAGGCGCGUGUAAUAAGGGGGAGACGGGCGGUAUCCUGAUUUAUUUGGUUUAAAGGUGUGCUAGCCGGCUUUAUAAGUCAGGGGUGAAAGACGGCAGCUUAACUGUUGCAGUGCCUUUGAUACUGUAGAGCUUGAAUGUGGUUGAAGAUGGCGGAAUGCGACAAGUAGCGGUGAAAUGCAUAGAUAUGUCUCAGAACUCCGAUUGCGAAGGCAGCUGUCUAAGUCAUUAUUGACGCUGAUGCACGAAAGCGUGGGGAUCGAACAGGAUUAGAUACCCGAGUAGUC
rnacentral:rRNA from 1 species